rnacentral:rRNA from 1 species
CUUGCUGGGCGGAUCAGUGGCGAACGGGUGAGUAACACGUGAGUAACCUGCCCCAGACUCCGGGAUAAGCCUUGGAAACGAGGUCUAAUACUGGAUACGAGAUGCCCCUGCAUGGGGAGUGUCUGGAAAGAUUUAUCGGUCUGGGAUGGACUCGCGGCCUAUCAGCUUGUUGGUGGGGUAAUGGCCUACCAAGGCGACGACGGGUAGCCGGCCUGAGAGGGCGACCGGCCACACUGGGACUGAGACACGGCCCAGACUCCUACGGGAGGCAGCAGUGGGGAAUAUUGCACAAUGGGCGAAAGCCUGAUGCAGCGACGCCGCGUGAGGGAUGAAGGCCUUCGGGUUGUAAACCUCUUUCAGCAGGGAAGAAGCGCAAGUGACGGUACCUGCAGAAGAAGCGCCGGCUAACUACGUGCCAGCAGCCGCGGUAAUACGUAGGGCGCAAGCGUUGUCCGGAAUUAUUGGGCGUAAAGAGCUCGUAGGCGGUUUGUCGCGUCUGGUGUGAAAACUCAAGGCUCAACCUUGAGCUUGCAUCGGGUACGGGCAGACUAGAGUGCGGUAGGGGUGACUGGAAUUCCUGGUGUAGCGGUGGAAUGCGCAGAUAUCAGGAGGAACACCGAUGGCGAAGGCAGGUCACUGGGCCGCAACUGACGCUGAGGAGCGAAAGCAUGGGGAGCGAACAGGAUUAGAUACCCUGGUAGUCCAUGCCGUAAACGUUGGGCACUAGGUGUGGGGCUCAUUCCACGAGUUCCGUGCCGCAGCAAACGCAUUAAGUGCCCCGCCUGGGGAGUACGGCCGCAAGGCUAAAACUCAAAGGAAUUGACGGGGGCCCGCACAAGCGGCGGAGCAUGCGGAUUAAUUCGAUGCAACGCGAAGAACCUUACCAAGGCUUGACAUACACCGGAAACUUCCAGAGAUGGUUGCCCCGCAAGGUCGGUGUACAGGUGGUGCAUGGUUGUCGUCAGCUCGUGUCGUGAGAUGUUGGGUUAAGUCCCGCAACGAGCGCAACCCUCGUCUUAUGUUGCCAGCACGUCAUGGUGGGGACUCAUAAGAGACUGCCGGGGUCAACUCGGAGGAAGGUGGGGAUGACGUCAAAUCAUCAUGCCCCUUAUGUCUUGGGCUUCACGCAUGCUACAAUGGCCGGUACAAAGGGCUGCGAUACCGCGAGGUGGAGCGAAUCCCAAAAAGCCGGUCUCAGUUCGGAUUGGGGUCUGCAACUCGACCCCAUGAAGUCGGAGUCGCUAGUAAUCGCAGAUCAGCAACGCUGCGGUGAAUACGUUCCCGGGCC